AGUGAACGCUGGCGGUAGGCCUAACACAUGCAAGUCGAACGGCAGCACAGUAAGAGCUUGCUCUUACGGGUGGCGAGUGGCGGACGGGUGAGGAAUACAUCGGAAUCUACUUUUUCUUGGGGGAUAACGUAGGGACACUUACGCUAAUACCGCAUACGACCUACGGGUGAAAGCAGGGGAUCUUCGGACCUUGCGCGAUUGUAUGAGCCGAUGUCGGAUUAGCUAGUUGGCGGGGUAAAGGCCCACCAAGGCGACGAUCCGUAGCUGGUCUGAGAGGAUGAUCAGCCACACUGGAACUGAGACACGGUCCAGACUCCUACGGGAGGCAGCAGUGGGGAAUAUUGGACAAAGGGCGCAAGCCUGAUCCAGCCAUACCGCGUGGGUGAAGAAGGCCUUCGGGUUGUAAAGCCCUUUUGUUGGGAAAGAAAAGCAGCAGGUUAAUACCCCGCUGUUCUGACGGUACCCAAAGAAUAAGCACCGGCUAACUUCGUG
rnacentral:rRNA from 1 species